ensembl:lncRNA
AUUUUAAUGUGUUAAGACAAUUGUUUCUAAUAUGUAAAAAUGUUACUUUCAUAUUCGUAUCUUUUAAUUCUUUGUGAUAUUCUGUUGCUCAUGCAAAGAGUUCUUAUAUCAAUUUAUCCUUCCCAAAAAUGAUUGGGAAAAAUAAUUAUAGCUUUUAAAUAGUUUAGGAUAUAUUGGUAUAUUCAUUAGUACAUGAGUAGAAUUUUCUUCUGGAAUACAUAAAAUCAGUACAUUUUUAUGGAGAGGAGGGGUCAUUAGUGAAUGUUCUGUUUCUUCUAUAAAUAUUUAGUUUAGAAUCUCUGUCUCUAUGGGGUAAAAGUUUAUAAAAUAUAUAUUCCUAGAAUACAUAUUAUCUACAUUUAAAUAGUAAUUUACAUUGAAUUGUAUAAUUUUUCUAUUUAUUCUUUAUGUUAAUGUUUGACUUUAAGUUCUUCUCUGCAGUGUAAACUGUUGAUACCUCCUUCUCAAGCUCUUUGUGUGAUUCCAUCUGUUUAAAGAAUCAUUUGGCUCCAGAGUUUGGAGAUUAGUUAAAAUUAGAUUUUCAGCAGAUGCAUAACCCAGGGAAGCACAGAAUUCAGUAAGAUACACAAGCUUUGCUUCAGUCUCUCCUGUCUCAGACUCAGCAUUUCCUGCUUCCUUCAUUUCCUGCUUCCUUCCUUCCUUCAGGAGCCCAUUUUCUUCCAGAUAUUGUGGAAAUUUAUCACCUCUCCCAAACAUUUUUAUGUCUCUGGAGUUACACAUUAGAACAUUGUCAUUGUUUUUGGUAAUUGGUUUUCUGAAAAUAAUUUUAACUCUUCAAAUAUGUACUGCCAUUGUAUCUACAGGUGAAGUGAUAAUUGUAGUUUUCUGGGGAAGUGAAGUCACAGGAUCACAAACCCACAUCUCAGACCUCCUUCCUACACACUCACUGGCUGUAGUGACUACAAACCAGAGCCCAUUCUCCAGCAGUAGAAGGAAAUCAGACACUACCCAAAGCAGUUCUUCUCUACAGUGGCAGAUACAUCUGCAAAUCUUCGCCUAAAGCAGUGACCUAAGAACCAACUUAACUGCUGAUGCCUGGAACACGGUCCCCAUCUUAGAAAUGUCGACCAAAUUGCAGGACACCCAAACAACAUUUUCAAGUAGAAAGUAAAUAGAUUAAGAAAACAGAGUUACCAAGCUGUUAAGUGAAUUUUGUUUCCUUUUAUCCCUGUCCCCUUUUAUUUUCAUGGUAGAAAAGGCUGGAUGGGGAUUGUUGCAAAAGCAGUGAUCUACCUCAUUUUACCACCACCAGGAUGGCCAAGGAUGUGGGUUCUCCUUGAGUGAAUCUUUGGCAAUCUGUCAGCCUGACAUGGUCUGCCUCCUUCUUUGACCUGAGCUUGCUCCCUGCUUGGAGGGAGGGCAGGGAGUUUUUUCAACAUUGAGAAGGUAACAUUUUUACUCCUCAGUGCAGCCUGUACCUCUGACCCAUGGUCAGCAGACAGGACAGAGGUACCCAGUAGACAGAGCUCAAAGGACGGCACUGAGUCCCAGUGGAAGGCUCAACGUUUAGCUCUGCCACCCACCCCAUAUGACCACAGGCAGACUCCAUGACCUUGUGGGUUUGUUUUCUCACCCCUAAAAAAGGAGGAAUUGUACUACCAUCUGUUUGGAAAUUUGUGAGGAUCACUGCGUUAAUCAUGUAAAGUCUUUAGAAAGUUCAUAUUGCUGUUUAUUAACUGCUUGUUGGUGGCUUGGCUGAGCCACAUCUUUUAUGAAAACCAGGACCACACAGCAGGUGUGGGUGUCUUUGCAGCCUGAGACCCUCAUGUGAACAGCCUUGUGGAAGCUGUCCUUUCCCCUUGCCACAAUCAGUGCCUCCCUGUUCCUGGGCAUUGCUUUCUCUGCUGGAUGUUAGGUGCUACACCAUUUUCCUACACCUCAGUUGUCUACAGGUAUAUGUCUGUUCUAGAAUCUAGGUGAGGUGGCAUCGAUAGCAGUUCUACUGUGGCACUGCCCUCCUUAGAUUGUCUUUUGAGAGCAAGAGUGGUCCCUCCACAUACCCCAAGAACUUACCUGCAUUUGCUCACAUAGUCUCAAUUUAGAAAAUGAGAAUUGUCACAUCUGCCUACCUGCCAAGUGGGUAAGGGGUAAAUUUCUUGUUGAAAUCUGAGCAGAAAAAUAUAACCAAUGCUAUACCCACUGAAGACAUGUAUGAGGAAUUAGAACAAUUCUUUAUGGACUGUAACUCAUAUAAAUACCUAGAAGUAAGUUUUAAAAAAAUUCAAGGAAGACAUAAUCAUUUUCUAUAAAUUACAAUAUCCUACACUGUGCAAUCAAAGGAAAUGACUAGCAUAGCUUUGAAACUAAAAUUAGAUAAGGUAAAUUGAAUUGUGUGAUAUAUAAAAAUACCAUAAAUUCUGAGCAGUAUGAUCUCAAAAUAUGAUAUGGUGGCUUAACAGUGAUAAUGCACUAAAUAAGAGGUUAAUAGAGAAAAAUUAUGAUUAUUGCCAUAGGUAUAGGAAGCUCAUGGAAUAAGAUUCACAUAUAUUUAUAAGACAACUACCUUAUAAACUUUAAAUGACCUAUCACAACCACUUAAAUUAUUGUUGCUUAAACAGUAUAUAUCUUGGCUGGUUAAAAACCAGGUAAGAAUUUCCAUAACAUUAAUUUAUUUAUAACACCAUAUUGGGUGUGAACCUAUUAAAAAGUUUACCCAACUAUAAAGGUAUACAAUUGACGAUUUAUUAAAUUGACAUUGUGUGCAGCCAUCACCAUGAUCUAACUUAAAAAUGUUUCACUCACUGAAGUUCUUUCUUGCCCAUGUCAGUUAAUCCCUACUCCCAUAUCCAGCCCUAAGCAAUACUGCUCUGAUAUUCUGUCUGUAGAAAUUUCCCAUUUGUGUAAUAGAUAUGGAAUCAUGCAAUAUAUUAUUUGUAGAGUCUGGAGUCUGACUUUUUUCAUUUAGCUACUAUUUUUAAAGUUAAUUGAUGCUUUAACAUGUGCUGGUAAUAUGUUUUCCUUCUCAUUGCUUCAUAGUCCAUCAUGUGGAUAUAUAAACAGUGUUUAUUCAUCCAUCAGUUGAUGGACAUUUAAUUAUUUCUGCCUUUUGUAUUAUGAAUAAUGCUGCUUUGAGCAUUCAUACACAGUUAUGUAAUGCAUAGUAACAUUUGGUCAAUGAUGGAUGGAAUGUAUGGUGGCAGUCCCGUAAGAUUAUAAUGGAGCUUAAAAAUUCCUAUCACCUAGAGUUUUGUAGCUGUCACAAGUGUGUAGUGUAUAACACAUUACACAGGCAUUGGUGAUGAUGUUGAUGGAAAGAAAUCUACUGGUUUUCCAUUUACGUUGAACAUACAAUUAUGUGCAGUAUAUAAUAUUUGGUAGUGUAAAUAAAUGACUGUGUUCCUGGUUUAUGUAUUUACUGUGCUGUACUUAUUAUGAUUAUUUGAGAAUAUACUCUAUCUACAUAUAAAAUAAAAUAAACACUGACCAGACGUGCUGGCUCACACCUGUAUUCCCAGCACUUUGGGAGGCUGAGGCGGGUGGAUCACCUGACAUCAGGAGUUCAAGAGCAGCCAGACCAACAUGGAGAAAGCCGUCUCUACUAAAAAUACAAAAUUAUGCAGACAUGGUGGCAGGUGCCAUUAAUCCCACCUCCUCUGAGGCAGCAGAAUUGUUUGAACCUGGGAAGUGGAGGUUGUAGUGAGCCGAGAUUGCGCCAUUACACUCCAGCCUGAGCAAAAAGAGCAAAACUCCAUCUCAAAGUAAAUAAAUAAAUAAGAGUUGUUUUUAAAAUUUUGAAAGUUAGGCCAGUGAUGGUGGCUCACACCUGUAAUCCCAGCACUUUGAAAGGCUGAGGAGAGUGGAUCACCCGAGUUUGGGAGUUUGAGACCAGCCUGAUCAACAUGGAGAAACCCCUCCUCUACUAAAAAUACAAAAUUAGCCGGGUAUGGUAGUGCAUGCCUAUAAUCCCAGCUACUUGGGAGGCUGAGGCAGGAGAAUCACUUGAACCUGGGAGGCGGAGGUUAUGGUGAGCCAAGAUCGUGACUUUGCAUUCCAGCCUGCGCAACAAGAGCAGAACUCCAUCUCAAAAACAAAAAAUAAAAUUUUUUAAGAUAAUAAAUUUUAAAUGUUACAGUAGGCUAAGAUUAGUUGAUUAUUGAAUAAAUAAAACAUUUCUAUAAAUUUAGGGUAGUCUAAAGGUACAAUGUUUAUAAAGGCUAUAGUAGUAUACGGUAAUGCCCCAUGCCUUCCCAUUCACUCACCAUUCAUUCACUAAAUCACCCAGAUCAACCUCUAUCUGCAUGCUGUGUUCAUGGUAAAGUGCCCUACACAGAUGUACUAAUUUUUAUAUUUUAUAACAUAUCGUAGCUUUUCUAUAUUUAGAUUUUAGAUAUAUAAAAUCUUACCAUUUUGUUACCUUUGCCUCCAGUAUUCAGUACAGUCACAUGUUGUACAGGUCAGAGCCCAGAGCAAUUGGCUGUAUCAUACAGCCUAGGUGUAUCGUCGGCUGUGCCAUCUAGAUUUGUGUAAGUGCACUCUGUGAAGUCUGCACAAUCACUACAUCACCUAAUGAUCCAUAUCUUAGAACACGUCACUGUCAUUAAGAGACACAUGUCUGUACAGGUGACUUUGGAGAAUUUGCUUUCAGUUCACUUGGGGCAUUUCCCAGGUGUGGACUUGCUGGACCAAAUGGUAAGUUCAAAUUUAAUUUUUUUAAGAAACCAGGGAACUGUCUUCUAAAUUAGCUGCGCCAAUGUUUAUUCCUACCAUGCUGCACAGUACCAAUUUCAUUGUACACUGUAUGCUAAGCCCCAGCAUGUAAGAAAUAAAGUAACACGUGUAAAGAUUAGUAUAAA